rnacentral:rRNA from 1 species
GGGGAAUUUUGGACAAUGGGCGCAAGCCUGAUCCAGCCAUGCCGCGUGCAGGAUGAAGGCCUUCGGGUUGUAAACUGCUUUUGUACGGAACGAAAAGCCUUUCUCGAAUAAAGAGAGGUCAUGACGGUACCGUAAGAAUAAGCACCGGCUAACUACGUGCCAGCAGCCGCGGUAAUACGUAGGGUGCAAGCGUUAAUCGGAAUUACUGGGCGUAAAGCGUGCGCAGGCGGUAAUGUAAGACAGAUGUGAAAUCCCCGGGCUCAACCUGGGAACUGCAUUUGUGACUGCAUUGCUGGAGUGCGGCAGAGGGGGAUGGAAUUCCGCGUGUAGCAGUGAAAUGCGUAGAUAUGCGGAGGAACACCGAUGGCGAAGGCAAUCCCCUGGGCCUGCACUGACGCUCAUGCACGAAAGCGUGGGGAGCAAAC